AAAGAGUCUUCAUAAUUUAAUAUAUCUUUGGGCUAAAAGCCUUUCCUCUUCUCCUCCUUCGGUCCGCUCUGCUGAGAGGCAGCUCCUGUUUACUUCACUUCAUUCCUCAGCGUCACAGCGGUAGAGAAGAACAAUACAUGCCUUUAUUUAAUCAGAACCGUCAGUAUAUGAGGAGACAGACAGCAUGCAGGAUUCACUUCAUCUGUGGGGUCCAGCUUCUUCAGGAUCUCUUCACACAGACGGACGGCAACUCAGUAGAACAUUUCUUGCUAUGCCAGCACUUCUCUUCUGCAAGAGUAGGACAUAGAUACAGUCAGUAAGAGAAGACCUAACACCCAAGCUCAAAAUCCUCCUGUGUUUGUCUUCUGAUACUCAUCAGAACUCAUUUUAAGCACAGUGAUAUUUUACUCUGUCAUUGAUUUGCAAGCAUCUCUGUAUGCAUUUCCAGGUGGGCUCUCUGUAGCACCAGUGUGUGUGUCUGAAAGCUGUCCCAUCGGUCCAGAACCAGGUGCCCGCCUGCACAAAGAAAAGGGUGGACAGGAGAGGACAGGAGAGGACAGGACAGGACAGGACAGGACAGGACAGGACAGGACAGGACAGGACAGGACAGGACAGGACAGGACCCCUAAACAGGAGGAACUCUUCAAAUACUCAACUACAACUGCAUUCAAAAUGUUGCUUAAAAACAUUUUGAACACGAACAAACACUGUACAGUAAAAGUAAGAAAGUGUACGUUUCUGCAGAAUGGCCCAUUCAGACUAUAUUCCACAUCUCUUGAUUUUAUUUGUUGAUGUUUUUGUUUGCAUAAAGGCUAAAUGAAUGCAGGUUAGCAUAACAAGGAAAUAGUCAAGUACAAAUUUAGCCAAAUACUCAAGAAUAAUACUUGGACAGAUAUACACCAGAACAGAAUGGUUCUGGGUGAUGGAAGAGGAGACUCUUCACAGGCUGUGGGACAUUUGACCGCUACUGGGACUGGCGUGACCUCGGCUUCAGUCCAGGACAGGGCUUUGGAGUUGUAUUGGAAACAGCGUCCGUUGAUACUGGUCCAUCCUCUGGAACAGAAGUGGAGCGCUUCACCGCACGACUCUUGACUGCAAACAUAAAAGAGUUCCACUAAAGUCAGUUUGUGAAACUGGCUGAGGCCAUCAACAUGCAUCAGUCAAACCAGGAAACGAACCUGGAUCAGGAUUCCUCUGACCACGACUCUGACAGUGACUCGGAAGACACACAUGCUGGUGGUGGAAUUACUGACCUGGAUCAGGAUUCCUCUGACCACAGAUCUGAAAAUGCACUCGAUGGCAUUACAGUAGUAAGUCAUUUUAACAGGGCAACGAUCUCACUUCGUUCUUCGUGUCUUCAAACCUUAAAGACUUUGCUUUCCUAGCUUUUUGUUUAUAACUAACCUCAGCCUUUGUUUACCCUGUAUACAACAAUCACACAUCAUUAAUGUUUUUGUGAAAUCUUGAUUUUAUGCACAUUUCCUAGUGCUUAUGUUUGUGAACUACCUUGGACUGAAAGGUGCACUGUGCAGUCCUGCAUGGUUUCAGUGCGGUUUUAUUUUUAUCUCAAAUUGUAGGCCUCUCCCCUUGAUCAGCUAGCUGCCUGCCCCCUGAAUACACUGUAUUCAGUCCCCACAGAUACAGUUGUGAAAAUAUUCAGUAGAACUUUAGUCAAAGGAGAACUGUAUUACUCAGAGCACUUCACCAGAGUAAUGAAAGGAACUGCUUUACUGUUCGGUUGGGAAAUGGACACACAAUCACUGUGUAUUAUUCCAUUGUGGUACAGAGACUUGAUAGCAGUUAGACAGUUUGAUAGAUCACACAGCUCGGUGCUACAUUUAGAAAAUGUAGUUGGCUUGAAAAGAGUGUUACAGGGCAGGAAACAGGUUUGGAUGUGAUGAAGUUCAACAGGAAAUGUAUGUUAGUUGAUCUGCCACAUUAUGCCCACCUUUAUGCAUGUAUACCUCCACGUUCCAGUGAGGAGGAUUGAAAUGUCAUGUUGAGGAUGAAAUGUCAUGUGGGGGAAUAAAAGGUGGACUCAAAGCAAAAAA